AGAUGUGAUGGUAAUCUGGCUGCAACAUCUGCAACAUCUGCCAAGGUUGAUUGGGCUGAUCUAGGUGGGCAGGUGUCACCUUCCUCCCUCACCACUCCACAUGUGUCCCUCUUCAAGGUGUGAGGACAACUACCCCAUAGAGGAGGACCUUUUCCUUGGUCAAGAGUAUACGAGUAGCUGUGCUCCCCUGCUAGAACCCCCAAAUUAGCUCUCAGAAUGAAUGUACAUACUUUAUGCAAAAUACCACAUAGGAAUAUUUAGUAUUUUAGUAAAGUAUUGUCUUUCUGU
rnacentral:snRNA from 1 species